CAGCAGCCGCGGUAAUACGUAGGUGGCAAGCGUUAUCCGGAAUUAUUGGGAGUAAAGCGCGCGUAGGCGGUUUUUUAAGUCUGAUGUGAAAGCCCACGGCUCAACCGUGGAGGGUCAUUGGAAACUGGAAACAUGAGUGCAGAAGAGGAGAGUGGAAUUCCACGUGUAGCGGUGAAAUGCGUAGAGAUGUGGAGGAACACCAGUGGCGAAGGCGACUCUCUGGUCUGUGACUGACGCUGAGGAGCGAAAGCGUGGGGAGCGAACAGGAUUAGAUACCCCAGUAGUCCCUGUCUCUUAUACC
rnacentral:rRNA from 1 species